rnacentral:rRNA from 1 species
CAGCGCGGGCAGAUAGCGCUCGGCGGGGAACGUGCGCAGCACCGCGAGCCGCCCGACGGGCAGCAGCAUCGCGCCGCCCACGCCCUGGAUCACGCGGAACGCGACGAGAAGCGGCAGCGUGUGCGCGUUCGCGCACAGGAGCGAGCCGAGCGUGAAGAUCAGGAUCGCGCUGAAGAACACGCGGCGCGUGCCGAGCGUAUCGGCGAGCCAGCCGGAUACGGGGAUCAUCACGGCCAUCGUCAGCGAGUACGCGAUCACGACCGACUGCAUCCUGAGCGGCGAUUCACCGAGGCUCGCGGCCAUCGAGGGCAGCGCGGUGUUGACGAUCGUCGCGUCGAGCGUUUGCAUGAAGAAGCCGGUGGCGACGAGCCACAGCAUCACGGUCAACGAUUUCUCGCUCGGGGCGGCGGCGGGCGGGGCUGGAGGCAUGAGAACGGGGCGCUGCGUGCGCGUUCGGGCGGGCAGCCGACAUUGUAGGGAAAGCCGGCGGGGCGUGCAGUGACCGGCAUGCGGGCGCGUUGCGCGGCGGACGUGACGGGCCGCGGGCGGGAUGCGCCGUCGUCCGGCAUCGGCUGCGGAGGCGCGCGACGAUCCUGCGGUUCGACCGUGCCUGAGCGCUCGCCGGUACAGUGCGGGAGACGGCGCGCGAAAGUGUGCAUGGGGCGCGGCGCGCCCAUCGCGAUAAUGAUCGGGAUAUCGAACGAUUUUCACGAGUGGAGCGGGCCAUGCGCGAAAUCCACACCUACGUACUCGACUAUCCGGAGCCGGCUGCCGUCUGGUGCGCGUCGCACGAUGCGACGCUGCGCGUGAGCGCGGGCGAAGCGUGGCUGACCGUCGACGGCCGCCGCGACGAUUACUGGCUCGGCGCCGGCGAGGCGUUCGAGCUGCCGCGCGGCGCGUGCGUGCGGAUCGGCGCGGGGCGCGGCGGCGCGCGAAUCGAAGUGAUGCGGACCGUUGCGGUUCUCGAGCCGCCGUUCUGGCGCGACGCGGCGGCGCGCGUUCGCGCCCGAUGGUCGGCGCGCCGGCGGCGCGCUCAGGCCGUGUGGUCGACGCCGACGUAACGCGCGCGCGGCCGGAUCAGCUUGCCGUCGGCGCGCUGCUCGAGCGCGUGCGCGAUCCAGCCGGCGACGCGCCCCGCGGCGAACAGCGCGAACGCGGCGCGCGGCGGCAGCGCGAGCGUGCGCUCGAGCGCGACGAGCGCGAAAUCGAUCGUCGGCUUGUCGCCGAGCGCGGCCUGCGCCGCUUCGACGAGCGACAGCGCGCCGUCGAGCGCGGCGUUCGGGCUCGCGCGGGCGACGAGCGCGUCGAGGAGCAGCGUCGCGCGCGGAUCCCCGUCCGGAUACAGCGGAUGGCCGAAGCCCGGCAGCCGCGUGCGCGCGUCCGGCUCGCAUUCGUACGCGGCGAUUCGCGCGGCGACGUAGCGCUCGAGAUCGCGCGCCGCGGCUGCGCCGUCGAGGAGCGCCGCGACGCGCAGCGUCUCGCCGCCGUGGCGCGGGCCGGACAGCGCGGCGAGGCCGCCCGCGAUCGCGCCGAACAGCGGCGCGCCCGUCGACGCGAUGCAGCGCACGGCGAAGGUCGACGGAUUGAGUUCGUGAUCGGCGCAGAGCACGAGCGCCAUGCGCAGCAGCUCGGCAUCGCGCGGGUCCGUCAGUCGCCAUGCGGCGGCGAACUGCCGAUGCACGGGUUCGGCGCUCGGCGCGCGUGCCGCGAGCGCGGCCGCCGCGACGCGCAGCAGCAUGGCGGCUUCGUCGAGCUGCGCGUCGCGGCGUCGGGCGUCGAGUUCGGCGGCGGGAGCCGGCGGAUCGGGCGGAUCGGGUGGUGCGCGAUGCCGCGCCGGCGCGGCAUCGGCGGGCGGUGCCGCGCGGCCGCCAUCGGGCGGCGCGUCGGGCAAGUCGGAUACGUCGGAUACGUCGGAUACGUCCGGCGCGGCGGCCGGCAGCAGCGCGAGCGCGCGCUCGAGCGGGGGGCGAUCGCGCCACCGAUCGAGCCGGCCGAGCCAGCGCGCCGUAUCGAACCACCGCUCGGCGCCGGGCGCCGCGUGCACGCGCGCGGGCGGGCAUUCCCACAGCAGCGCGGCGGCUUCUUCGAGCGUUGCCGUCAUUGCGAGCGAGAUCGCGUCGCGGCCGCGAUACCGCAGCGUGCCGUUAGCGAUCUGCGUGAUGCGCGAUUCGAGGACGGGCACGCCCCAAUCGAGCGUGCGCUCGGCGACCUUGCCCGCGCGCUUCGCGUCCGCACGACGGCGCGCGAGCAGGCGAACCUCGUCGGCGUCGUAAUGGCGGCGCUUGCUCGUGCCGUCGGCGAGCGAGCGCAGCAGGCCGCGGCUCACAUACGCAUAGAGGGUCGGCACGCUGACGCCGAGCAGUUGCGCAGCUUCGUUCGCGCUCAAGCGGGGCAUGGCGGCGGUUCCUCGGUCGAAGGGCGGACGGACGAUCGGGGCCGCGCGUGUCGCGUACGCGCGGCGGCCGCUCGCCGAGCACGGAGGCUCGCAAUCGGGAGCGAAUGCGUCUGCGCGCCAUUCUAGACGCGUUUCGAUCCUCACCACGGCGCGGCCGGCGCGAUAUCGCGCCGGCGUGCGUCGACGUAUCCGCGGCCGCUCGCGGGGGCGAUCCGGCCGCGCGCGAACGCGUCGAGUUCGACCGGCGGCGAUCCGUGCCGGCCGUCGAUUCGGCGAGUCGGCACGCUUGCCGUGGCGUCGAACGCGGCGGCGGGGCUCGCUGGCGCCGAACGCGGCCGUGCGCGCAGCGAUGCGGCGCGCGUUCGCGACGUUUCGCCGCGAACGGUAUCGACAUCGACGCUCGCGCGCCGGCGAGCCGAGGCCUCAUCCCGUCACCGGGCUUUACGAGACGCGCGACACAACGAUGGAUUCAAUGAGACGCGAAUUUUCCGCCACCCUUGCGGCGUGCGCUUUACGCGCUCGGUCGUGACGAAGCGCGGGUGGGCGGCCGUGCGCGGCUCGGACGGCGAAGCGCCCG